rnacentral:rRNA from 1 species
UACGAGGGGUGCAAGCGUUGCUCGGAAUUAUUGGGCGUAAAGGGUAGGUAGGUGGUCUCGUUUGUCUGGGGUGAAAGCCUUGAGCUUAACUCAAGAAGCGCCCUGGAAACGGCGAGACUGGAGUCUUGGAGAGGGUCGUGGAAUUCCCGGUGUAGCGGUGAAAUGCGUAGAGAUCGGGAGGAACACCAGAGGCGAAGGCGGCGACCUGGACAAGUACUGACACUCAACUACGAAAGCGUGGGUAGCAAACAGG